GGAUUUUGGUGUGUCUGUAUUAAAAUACACUGCUCUGCAAUGACAGGUCCUUGAUUCUUUGUAGACAGGAGAAUACACUGUGCUGCAGAGAUCUGACACAGAUAUUUGGUGUGUGGAUCCUGUGUCAGGAGAAAUAUUCCAGCGUGGCAGCAGAGGCUUGGAUGGCAAUCCUGAGUGUCCCAGUGUCUGUACCAUGCUGAGGUCCAGAGCAGUCUCAGGAGCAGCUGCCAGAGGCUACGUGCCCCAGUGUGAGGGGGACGAGGGGGGUUUCUCCCCUGUGCAGUGCAGCCAGGACCAGGAGAGCUGCUGGUGCGUCUUGGGCAAUGGAGAGGAGGUGCCAGGGACACGAGUGAACGGGGGAACACCGGCAUGUGCAAGUCCGCAGUGUGCUCUGCCAUUUGGUGCCUCAGCAGUUGCCAAUGGGGCUGUACUUUGUGAAAACAUCCCUGGGCAAGCUCCAAGCAUCCAGCAGUGCCAGCUCAUGUGUCGCCAGGGCUUCCACAGUGCCGCUCCCAACACCUCGUUCCAGUGUGACACGCGGCAGCGGCGCUGGGUCUCGGCUGCCCCUCUGCUCCAGGCC